UACGAAGGGGGCUAGCGUUGCUCGGAAUCACUGGGCGUAAAGGGUGCGUAGGCGGGUCUUUAAGUCAGGGGUGAAAUCUUGGAGCUCAACUCCAGAACUGCCUUUGAUACUGAAGAUCUUGAGUUCGGGAGAGGUGAGUGGAACUGCGAGUGUAGAGGUGAAAUUCGUAGAUAUCGGGAGGAACACCAGUGGCGAAGGCGGCGAUCUGGGCAGAUACUGACGCUGAGGUGCGAAAGCGUGGGGAGCAAACAGG
rnacentral:rRNA from 1 species